AUUAAGCUUUUGCACACAAUACGCCACUGUGGUCGAUCCGGCCUGCCGGCAAGCUAAGAAGGUUUCAGCCUUUCAGGCCAGGAAUGCAAUAAUCGAGGUGGAGCUAGCACCUCCCAUCCCAGUAUAAUCUGAAUGUUCCUAGCUAAUAUAUAUAUAUAUAUAUAUGUGCAUGGGAAAUUAAAAGAUGGUCUGAAUCAAAUGGGUUUGCGUGCAGGGAAGAGUGGAAGAUGCAGAAAAGCUAAAGGAACAGUAGAUUCCUCCCUCUUCGGCUGUUUCUUACCAAAUUAAACCUGCCCAAAAUAAUAUAUAGUACGUCAGUAGUCGAUCUAAAUGAACCCAUGAUCUGUUGAAUCAUCAUUCACUUCAAUCAAUAAUAUUAUACAAAUAAUUAUUCACCUCGACAAUAUAUAUGCUUAUAAGCUAUUGUGAUAAUACAUAGAUGUAGAUAUACGAACGUACAGUUUCAUGGAUCGGAGGGUGGAGGAAGAGCAUCGGAUCCCUCAGCAGAAACACGACUGGAUCCUUUUCCUUCUCCUUCUCCCGAUGCAGCAACUGAUGACGAG
rnacentral:lncRNA from 1 species